GUAAAACUAAAGAGUAUAUCCGUGUCUCAGCCCUAAAUCCCAAUACGUAUCAUCAAUCAGGAAUAAAGAACUUCCCCAAAAUCUUAAAUCUAAUCGGACAAAGCUCAGCCAGGAGCAGCUCCGAGUACGAUCGGCGGCUCCGGCAACGAUAAGAAUAGUGGUCGUAUGUAUUAUGCGGUUGAAGUUCUGAGCACACUCUAUGUCGUUGUUUCCGUGUUAAUAAACUCAUUUUGUGCAAAAUCCUUAUUGAACCAACAUGGCGAUGAAGAAAAUUAUUGCUAUUUGUCAAUCAUGGGGUGAGUUUGAGACCAGUAAAGAUGGGUCUAUGACAUACAAAGGUGGAGAGGCCUAUGCUAUGGAUCUUGAUCAGCAAACUAAGUUAAGUGAUUUCAAGCAGGAACUAGCUGAAACGUUUCACUAUAGUGUUGACAGCAUGUUGAUCAAGUACUUCCUCCCCGCAAACAAAAAGACUCUCAUUACAAUCUCCAAGGAGAAGGACCUCAAGCGCAUGGUUAACUUUUUCAUGGAUUCAGACCAAGUGGAGGUUUUUGUCAUGACAGAGGAAGGUGUUACUCCAAAUGUAUCAAAUCUGCCUGCCAGUAGGUCGAGCAGGACAACUGAGUCCGAAGCAGUGGUUCCUGCAGCUGUCCCUGUUGAUAUGAUGAUGGAUCUUGAUGGUCCAGUUGAUAUGGAUACGCAUAUUAGAAUACCACUUGGUGGUGAGCUUGCCAUUAUUGAUGGUGAAAAUGAUCGUAGAGCUGUGACGCAGUGGGAGAAAACGAUCACUGGUGUGGACCAAAGGUUUCGUAGCUUUACUGAAUUCCGGGAAGCUCUUCAUAAAUACUCAAUUGCACACGGGUUUGCUUACAAAUUCAAGAAAAAUGACAAUCGUCGUGUAACUGCAAAAUGCAAAUCAGAAGGUUGUCCAUGGCGUAUCUAUGCAUCCAGGUUGGCUACCACCCAAUUGGUUUGUAUUAAGAAAAUGAGCUCAACACAUACGUGUGAAGGAGCUUCCGUAAAAGCUGGGUAUAGGGCAACGAGAGGCUGGGUGGGAAAUAUAAUAAAGGAGAAGCUGAAAGCUUCUCCAAAUUACAAACCCAAAGACAUUGCCAGUGACAUCAAACGUGAGUAUGGGAUUCAACUGAACUAUACGCAGGCAUGGCGUGCGAAGGAGAUUGCAAGGGAGCAGCUUCAGGGUUCAUAUAAAGAGGCAUAUAAUCAGGUACCACUUCUCUGUGAGAAGAUAAUGGAGACUAACCCAGGUAGCAUUGCUACGUUUGCCACAAAGGAGGACUCAAGCUUCCAUCGUCUGUUUGUGUCAUUUCAUGCCUCAAUAUAUGGGUUCCAACAGGGUUGCCGUCCGCUCCUUUUCCUUGAUUGCACUACCCUAUACUCCAAGUACCAAGGGACCUUAUUGGCUGCAAUGGGUGUAGAUGGGGAUGAUGGUGUAUUUCCAGUAGCUUUUGCUAUAGUAGAUGCCGACACUGAGGACAACUGGCAUUGGUUUCUGGCAGAGUUAAAAUCUGCAGUGUCAACAUCUCAUCCGAUCACAUUUGUUGCAGAUUUCCAGAAGGGCUUGAGAGAGUCAUUGCGUGAAAUAUUUGAAAAUUGCCAUCAUGCGUAUUGUCUGCGAUAUCUUGCUGAGAAACUUAAUAGAGAUUUGAAAGGACAGUUUUCACAUGAAGCAAGGCGUCUUAUGGUUCAAGAUUUUUAUGCUGCUGCUUAUGCUCCUAAACUUGAAAGUUUCGAACGUUGCACUGAAAAUGUGAAGGCUAUCUCGCCUGAAGCUUACAAUUGGGUCAUUAGAAGUGAGCCUGAUCAUUGGGCAAAUGCGUUUUUUGGAGGGGCAAGGUAUAACCAUAUGACAUCUAACUUUGGAGAGCUCUUUUACAGUUGGGUAUUCGAGGCAACUGAGUUGCCAAUAACUCAGUUUGUUGAUGUUUUACGGGGAAAGAUGAUGGAGUUGAUUUAUACACGGCGAGUUGAUUGCAGUCAGUGGGGAACAAGGCUUACACCAUCUAUGGAGGAAAAGCUACAAAAUGAGAUCUCAAAAUCAUGCUCUCUUCAAGUGUUACCUACACAUGGUAGCACAUUUGAAGUUCGUGGUGAAUCCGUUGACCUAGUAGACAUUGAUCAUUGGGACUGUAGUUGCAGAAUAUGGCAACAUACCGGGUUGCCUUGCUGCCAUGCUAUUGCUGUUUUUGAAUGCCUUGGUAGGAGCCCAUAUGAUUAUUGCUCACGAUACUUCACUGCUGAGAGUUACCGUCUUACAUAUGCAGAAUCAAUUCAUCCCGUACCAAAUGUGGAAAGACCAUUGAACAUUGUACUGACUGAGGGAGAACUCUCAGUCUCAGUAACUCCUCCACCAACUAGACGUCCACCAGGUAGGCCAAAGAUGAAGCAACCUGGAUCAGUAGAAAUAAUCAAACGCCAACUUCAGUGUAGCAAGUGCAAGGGCCUUGGCCACAAUAAGAGGAAAUGCAAGUAGGUUUCACCUGUACAGCAUUCAGGUGAUAAAACUUCUGAAUUUUUGAGUUGCUUGCACUUGGCACGUGUGUAUAUUGCUUAUCCUGGUUGUUUAUGUAUGCAUGUCCCAAGUAAUGUACAUUCUUGUGGCAUCUCAAACUUUUUUAUGUCACUAGCAUCUGGAGUAUUUAACAUAUGCUAUGUCCAUGGUGUAGACUCUAUGGGGUAUACUCUGUUUCAGCAUUUUCAUCGUUGAAAUUUGUUGCCUUUUAGAAAAUAGUUGUUUAGGAGACGGCUUUGCCACUUAUGAUAUUAGGUGGGAAAAAAUUCUCCUGUUGGUACGGCUUGUGUGGGAGCACUGGGAGGCCAUUUCCCUCUCAGUAUGUUGCUUCAAAUUCUAUUGGAAAGAGUUGUUUUUGUGAUGGCUGGCGGCUUAGGCUAGUAGUUGGAAAAAAUUCUCAUGUUGGUAUGACUUGUGUGCGAGGUCUUUUGUUGAACCAUCCUAUCUUAAUUCCUUUCGACGGGUGCUAUUCCCAUCUCCGCAUCCUACUUGAAAUUAUAUUGGAAGGUUUUCGUGUCAAACUUGCAUUUUCUUAUUGGAAGGUUUACGUUUUCUAGUGUUCUCAGAAUGAACGACUUGGAAGUAAAGUAUGGACCCCUUUUGAAGAUAUCAAAUUACUACCUCGUCUAACAUUUACCAAAAGUGCUUUUUCCCCUCCCCAAAAUAGAAACGAGAAAAAUUUUCUCGCAUUACAAUUGUAUUUGGAGUUCAUAAUUUUAUUGAUGAGCUACUAUUUUAUGCUGUACAGGACGGGUGAAGAAUGAUGCAUCACAUUGCUGAGACUUAACAAGUUUCACAAGCAAAGAGGAGAUUCGAGGAAAUUGCAAGAAGAUUGGUAUCUUCGCAUUUCAAUGUAUUAACUCGUUUCCUGGUUACUGCUUUAUAUUUCUAAACCCAUUUGGGCCGUGACAUUGACUACCGAUGCAGUAUUACAUGCAGCAUAAUUUUUUUGCUCAGACUUUGCAUGAGUCUUCGAAUUGUGUAGUUGUUGCUUGAUAUAGCGCAUGACUAGUUUCUACGUACGUAUAUUGAGUCUUGCGAUGUGUGGGAGGAUUUUGGUAACAUUUCUAAUCUAUUUAUUGUAUUUACUUUUGUCAUUGGUGAAAA